rnacentral:rRNA from 1 species
GAUGAACGCUGGCGGCGUGCUUAACACAUGCAAGUCGAACGGAAAGGCUCCUGCUUGCAGGGGUACUCGAGUGGCGAACGGGUGAGUAACACGUGGGUGAUCUGCCCUGCACUUCGGGAUAAGCCUGGGAAACUGGGUCUAAUACCGGAUAGGACCAUCGUUUAGUGUCGGUGGUGGAAAGUUUUUUCGGUGUGGGAUGAGCUCGCGGCCUAUCAGCUUGUUGGUGGGGUAAUGGCCUACCAAGGCGUCGACGGGUAGCCGGCCUGAGAGGGUGUACGGCCACAUUGGGACUGAGAUACGGCCCAGACUCCUACGGGAGGCAGCAGUGGGGAAUAUUGCACAAUGGGCGGAAGCCUGAUGCAGCGACGCCGCGUGGGGGAUGACGGCCUUCGGGUUGUAAACUGCUUUCGCCAGGGACGAAGCGAAAGUGACGGUACCUGGAUAAGAAGCACCGGCUAACUACGUG